rnacentral:rRNA from 1 species
UAGUGAUUAACGCGAAGAACCUUACCUGGGCUAGACAACGGUGGAUCGUCCUAGAAAUAGGAUUUUCCCUUCGGGGACUGCCGGUUCAGGUGCUGCAUGGCUGUCGUCAGCUCGUGCCGUGAGGUGUUGGGUUAAGUCCCGCAACGAGCGCAACCCUCGUCCUUAGUUGCCACCAUUCAGUUGGGCACUCUAGGGAGACUGCCGGCGUUAAGCCGGAGGAAGGUGGGGACGACGUCAAGUCAUCAUGGCCCUUAUGUCCAGGGCCACACACGUGCUACAAUGGGCGGUACAAAGGGUCGCAAACCCGCGAGGGGGAGCCAAUCCCAAAAAGCCGCUCUCAGUUCGGAUUGGAGUCUGCAACUCGACUCCAUGAAGUUGGAAUCGCUAGUAAUCGCGGAUCAGCACGCCGCGGUGAAUACGUUCCCGGGCCUUGUCACACCGAAUCGAA